UACAGAGGGUGCAAGCGUUAAUCGGAAUUACUGGGCGUAAAGCGUGCGUAGACGGUUAUCUAAGUCGGGUGUGAAAUCCCCGGGCUCAACCUGGGAAUUGCAUUCGAUACUGGAUAGCUAGAGUUCGGCAGAGGGAAGUGGAAUUUCCGGUGUAGCGGUGAAAUGCGUAGAUAUCGGAAGGAACAUCAGUGGCGAAAGCGUCUUCCUGGACCAGAACUGACGUUCAGGCACGAAAGCGUGGGGAGCAAACAGG
rnacentral:rRNA from 1 species